UUCUUCCCUCUCUCUCCUCUCGCUCUCUCACGCUCUCCUCUCUGUGUGAAUCUGCACCCCCUCAAAUUUCGACCAAACUUCUCUCUCUCCUCUUGUGAAUAGAUUUUUGAUUGUCCUGAAAACUUUAGGUAUGGAAGUUCUGAUCUUGUAGUUAAGAGAUUGUAAGAUUGUGAAUGUUCAGAUCCUCUCUCAAACAGGUUAGGAGGAAUUGUUAGGGCGAAGAAACUGAUAUGAUUCUUGGUAAGGUCUGAAUCUUAAAGGGAACAUGGCAGAUCAGGUCUUGAAAGGGAGUAAACUCCGAAACCUUAUCUCCACAAGAUCCAACUUCAUCGACCGGAUCCAAUUUGUUCAGAGCGAGCGUGAGAGGAAUCCCAACCAACUCAGCCUCGACCAAAAACCUGGUGAGUGAGAAUGCCUCAAGCUUCGGCUGCUGGCGAUUGGAGGAUCGAGGAUUUCCGAACUUCUAUGGUAAACAUUUUCGAUCAUCCCUAUAAGGUCCACCCAUUCGAAGGACCCUACUAACACCUUAUCCCCAUCCAAAACCUUCCUCUUGAUCUUCUUGAAAAGAGCCCUAACCACGCACAGCAAUUCAACUCCAACGGCUGGUUCCUCAGGUUCGCUAGCGUUUUCCAGAGUCGGACCGGCUGACUGGACGAUAACUUUCAUGAAAUUGGCCUGUGCAGCGGCAACAUUCCGAUGGCCUGGUUCGGCAUGAGAACAGGCGAUUCUCCAAAGAAAGAAGAGGAGAUAGAGAUGAUAAUUCCCUGACGCUGCCCUUUUCUCUGAGGAGGUUCUUGCGGGGCGGCUGCUUCCUGUAACUAUUAUGGUUUUGUCGAGCUGCAAUGGAGACGAAACCGAAACGGGAAGUACGAGAAGAGACAGGCGGAGGAGGAAAUUGCUGCAACUGGGAAGACCCGUGCGAUUACGAAGGAUGGUAAGGGAAGAAAUAGACAUGAGUGUAUUGAUAGAGAUGGAACUAAAUUGAUAGGUGCAAGGCUAUACAUCCUCACUGCUACCACCUCACUACCCCUGGAGUUGAUUUUAGUGUCGAGAAACAGUUCAUUACUAGAGAUUAUUUCAAGCUCAAGUAGAAGAGGAUUGAGAUAUUGCGAGCCGUCCUUGAGGGCUACAGUUUCGUCUUCACGGUUCUUAUUUUUGAUCACCCAGGAGAGAACUCACUGUGAACUAUAUGCAGGAUGCAGAUGUGAUGUGGUUAAGAAAUCCAUUUCUACACUUCAGCCCCAGCAGCGUGUUUCACAUUGCCUAUGACCAUUACAUACACAAUCCAACAGAGAUAAGGAAUGACAUCAAUGGAGAAUUCAACUAUGUUAGAUCAGACUCCAUAUCAAUUGAGUUCUUCAGAUACUGGCAUAUGUAGAAGGUUUUGUAUCCGGGGUAUAGCGAUCAAUCUGUCUUACAAAUCAUAAGAAAUGAUAUGGUCAAUGCAGAGAUGAUAGGUUUGGGGUUUAAGUAUCUAGACACAAGCUACUUUGCAGAAUUCACCGCCACCUAGUUUUUGGCCUUUGGGAAGAGACUAGGAGCAUUGUGGUGGGAUAUAUAGAGCUAUUUAGCAUUCCUUUCUCAACAUUCAAUGAAAAAUAAUGUUCUCUUAUCAGACCGAAUGAAGAAGAGUACCACAAAAGUCAUUACCAAAUCUGCACAUGACUUCAGCUCAUAUGUGGCAUGGAAAAUGGAACGGGGGGGUAGUAGUACUCCCACUUCCAGACCAGUUCUUCCAACUGUCAAUAAUCUAGUGGAUGGAAUGUACAGCAUCAAAGCGUGUCAGGUAUUGUUGGACAACAUGACAAAGUUAACAGAAGAGAUGUGGGUGAAGGCUCAACAAAAGAUACACAAGAAUGCUGCUUGGAGAAUAUCAUUUGUAGAAGUUGCUGCUGAAAAAAGGAUGUGGAUGAUUAGAGCAUUGAAGUAGGAUUUGGGAGUUUCUUGAAAACAAUAGGUUUAUUUUUAAAUUUGAGAAUGACAUGGAUAUUUGUUUGUUUGAUUUUGAUGGAUGGUUUGAUUUAAAAGUAAGAUAGGGGAAUUUCUUUGAGGAUGACAUGGAUAUUUCUUUGCUUGUUGAUUUUGGUGGAUAUUUUGAUUUAAAAGUAGGAUAUGGGAGUUUAUUUGAGGAUGA